rnacentral:lncRNA from 10 species
GCCAGUCUGAGCAGGCCAGCCCUGGGGAGCCAGAGAAGCGAGGCAGGAGCUGGGGGAGCACACAGCUGGCCCUGCCCAGGCCCAGGGGCUGAACUCUAUCCACAAAGCCUGACUUUGUGGAUAGGACGUUAGGCCAGAGAAGUCCAGGCCCAGGCAGGCCCGGUGUUGACUGUUGACCCUCAGAGAGGAACUCAGCUUCCAAGGAGGCUCAAAGGACUGGCAUCCUCUUGUGUCCAUUAGCCCCUGAAAAUCUUGUUGCUGUUCACGUUUUGGGUCUAUACCAACUUUAUGAGCUGUAACACUCACGGCGAAGGUCUGCAGCUUCACUCCUGAAGCCAGCGAGACCACGAACCCACCAGAAGGAAGAAACUCCAAACACAUCUGAAUGUCAGAAGGAACCAACUCCCGACACACCAUCUUAAGAACUGUAACACUCACUGCAAGGGUCCGUGGCUUCAUUCUUGAAGUCAUCGAGACCGAAAACCCACCAAUUCCGGACACACUGGGAUUUAGAGAAGUGACCAGGAUUUCUUCAGACCACCUGAGGCCAUUGGCAAUGGACACCUAGCCACGUUUAACCUUUUCACACAAAGUGAGCAUCAGUAGACUAACCCUAGGAGGUUUCGGGUGGACACUGACAGGUGUUGGGCAUGUCCUUAUAACUGGAAUUAUUGACAAUAUCUUUCAAAAACUAUCUGUGCAACAAGGAGCCAGGUGAAGAUUUGGCAACUACAGUACCUCGCAGAUUCAAUCAAAGUCGAUGAAGUAUGUCUUCUUGCCUAAAUAACCCAGUGUGGUUUUGAACGCUGAAUCCAUUAACCAAGUAGAUCCUUCCACUUUCAUUCUCUCUAAAUUGUGUAUCUUCAUAGCAAAUGAUUUCCUUUUGAGAUGACUUGUGUUCUUUAACUUUACAGGAAAGAUGUGCAGUAGUUCCCGUGUUCCAAAGUUUCACUUUCCGUGCUUCUAGUUACCCACUGUCAUGUACAAUCCAAAAACAUGACCUAUGAUAGGUGGCUUUGAGAGAAAGAAAGAGGCCACAUUCACGUAAUUUUUUUUUUUUUUUUUUUUUUUUUUGAGAAGGAGUCUUGCUCUGUCGCCCAGGCUGGAGUGCAGUGGUGUGAUCUCAGCUCACUGCAAGCUCUGCCUCCCUGGUUCACCCCUAUUCUCCCACCUCAGCCUCCCAAGUAGCUGGGACUACAGGUGCCCGCCACCACGCCCGGCUGAUUUUGUUUUUGUGUUUUUAGUAGAGGCAGGGUUUCACCAUGUUAGCCAGGAUGGUUUCGAUCUCCUGACCUCAUGAUCCGCCUGCCUUGGCCUCCCAAAGUGCUGGGAUUACAGGCGUGAGCCACCGCCCCCGGCCCACGUAACUUUUAUUACAGCAUAUUGUUAUCAUUGUUUUAUUUUAUUAUUAGUUGUGGUUGUGAAUCCCAUACUGUGCAUAGGUGUAUGUGUACAGUUUAGGAAAAAACACAGUAUAUAUAGAGCCCAGUAUUAUCGGCAGUCUCAGGCAUCUACUGGGGAUCUUGGAGCGUAUCCCCCACAGGUAAGGGGGACUACUGUAUACACUUCAUAUAUUUGCUUUUUUAGAAACAUCUUCUAGAGUAAAUGAAUGAAUCCUUACAGCCUUUUACAUCGUGUGUUUCAUCCUCCUUGCCUGCAAAGCAACGCAGAAUUUCUGCUAAUUAAGGUAGCUCUAAAUGUGCUGUUUAGAACUGUAAAGAUUAAUUGUAGUAAUUAUGCUUAAUUGUGCCAGUGGGUAAAGGUAGUGGGGAGGACGGGUGGAAGGGGAGGGGAAAAGUCAGUGUCUCUGCCCUCAGCUGGGGGAGGCUGACUUUCUCAGUUGGCAGACACACCUUCUGAAACAGACAGAUGUGGGCAAGGCCCCCUUUUCCAAAGCAGAGGGAAGCAGCCCAUGACUUUGCUCUAGCCGAGCCUGUCUCCACUGUACUCGUCAGAAACACUCUGCCAAGUCAGCCUCUGCGACUCUGUCUUGGGCAAGUUAGCUUUGGUGGUUUCACCUGCACAUUGAGACAUUGGGCGUCAAGGGGAGACCCCUCACGUGGGGCUGUGUCUGGAGCUAGUUGUGCGAUUACAGGAAUGACUGACUCACAUUCCCACCCCUCCCCCAGUGCAAUGGAGACUUCACAGCUUCAGCCUUUUAGUGUCAAGGUUCUGGUAUCUUGAGGCUCUGGUCUUGCACCAGUUUCGGUGAUUUUGCACCCAUUUCUCAGCAUGUUGUUUCUACUUCUAGUAUUGAUGAAGCAAGUAUUUCACAAGACGCUUCAAAGUCACAGUCUCCCCAUUGAGGGGUCAGGCACGGUGGUGGCUGCAAAAGGCACGGAGGUCCGUGCUGACCUGGAGAUGGAUGGGUGCCUCUGAGUCUUCAUGGUAGAUGGAGUGCGUCUAUGCGAGAGGUGCUUUGUCCUGGAAAGUUGCUGAAAGGGGGAAGAAAGGAGGCUGGGGGUGGAGUAGGGAAGGGAAGCGUGUCUCAGGGCAGUACCAAGGGUCCAGGUGCACCUGAAGCAGGAAACCAAGGCAGCUCUCUGCUGAGCGUCUGAUCAAACCAUGGUGAUCUCACUUUAUACCAAUGAUUGUUAUUUCUACCAUACACAGUCAUACGCUAUAAUUGCCAAAAAUGUAGAACUGAAACAACAAAACAAUGGAUUUGCAAAGAACCAAUAAAAUCAAACUUUUUGUGCCA